rnacentral:rRNA from 1 species
UGAGUAACACGUAUCCAACCUGCCGUCUACUCUUGGACAGCCUUCUGAAAGGAAGAUUAAUACAAGAUGGCAUCAUAAGUCCGCAUGUUCACAUGAUUAAAGGUAUUCCGGUAGACGAUGGGGAUGCGUUCCAUUAGAUAGUAGGCGGGGUAACGGCCCACCUAGUCUUCGAUGGAUAGAGGUUCUGAGAGGAAGGUCCCCCACAUUGGAACUGAGACACGGUCCAA